GACGAACGCUGGCGGCGUGCUUAACACAUGCAAGUCGAACGGAAAGGCCCUGCUUUUGUGGGGUGCUCGAGUGGCGAACGGGUGAGUAACACGUGAGUAACCUGCCCUUGACUUUGGGAUAACUUCAGGAAACUGGGGCUAAUACCGGAUAGGAGCUCCUGCUGCAUGGUGGGGGUUGGAAAGUUUCGGCGGUUGGGGUUGGACUCGCGGCUUAUCAGCUUUUUGGUGGGGUAGUGGCUUACCAAGGCUUUGACGGGUAGCCGGCCUGAGAGGGUGACCGGCCACCUUGGGCCUGAGAUACGGACCAGACUCCUACGGGAGGCAGCAGUGGGGAGUAUUGCACAAUGGGCGGAAGUGUGAUGCAGCAACGCCGCGGGCGGGAUGAAGGCCUUCGCGUUGUAAACCGCUUUGGCCUGUGACGAAGCGUGAGUGACGGUAAUGGGUAAAGAAGCACCGGCUAACUACGUG
rnacentral:rRNA from 1 species